rnacentral:lncRNA from 1 species
GGACCGCCGGGUCCUAGGGAAGCACGGCGGGUGGCAGUCCCCGCUCGCUUCCUGUCCUGAGGGCGGGGGCGGAAUGGGAGGCUCCAGCUGUGUGUUUAGGCAGAUAUGAGUGGAGCACCUGUUAUGAUGAGCCCAGCAGCACAAGGGUAACCAGAAGAGUUCCCAUCCAGAAGUUACUGCACCUGAAAAGGUAGCCGAGCCCUCAGUUC